rnacentral:rRNA from 1 species
GAUGAACGCUGGCGGCGUGCUUAACACAUGCAAGUCGAACGAUCAAGCCCAGCUUUCUGGGUGGUUUAGUGGCGAACGGGUGAGUAACACGCGAGUAACCUGCCCUUGACUCUGGGAUAAGCCUGGGAAACUGGGCCUAAUACUGGAUAUGACUCCUCAUCGCACGGUGGGUGGUGGAAAGAUUGAUUGGUCUUGGAUGGACUCGCGGCCUAUCAGCUUGUUGGUGAGGUAAUGGCUCACCAAGGCGACGACGGGUAGCCGGCCUGAGAGGGUGACCGGCCACACUGGGACUGAGACACGGCCCAGACUCCUACGGGAGGCAGCAGUGGGGAAUAUUGCACAAUGGGCGCAAGCCUGAUGCAGCGACGCCGCGUGAGGGAUGACGGCCUUCGGGUUGUAAACCUCUUUCAGUAGGGAAGAAGCGAGAGUGACGGUACCUGCAGAAGAAGCGCCGGCUAACUACGUG